rnacentral:rRNA from 1 species
AUGCAAGUCGAACGGUAACAGGUCUUCGGAUGCUGACGAGUGGCGAACGGGUGAGUAACACAUCGGAACAUGCCUAGUUGUGGGGGACAACUACUCGAAAGAGUAGCUAAUACCGCAUAAGAUCUACGGAUGAAAGCAGGGGACCUUCGGGCCUUGCGCAACUAGAGUGGCCGAUGGCAGAUUAGGUAGUUGGUGAGGUAAAGGCUCACCAAGCCUGCGAUCUGUAGCUGGUCUGAGAGGACGACCAGCCACACUGGGACUGAGACACGGCCCAGACUCCUACGGGAGGCAGCAGUGGGGAAUUUUGGACAAUGGGCGAAAGCCUGAUCCAGCAAUGCCGCGUGCAGGACGAAGGCCUUCGGGUUGUAAACUGCUUUUGUACAGAACGAAAGUCACUGGGUUAAUACCCUAGUGCUAUGACGGUACUGUAAGAAUAAGCACCGGCUAACUACGUGCCAGCAGCCGCGGUAAUACGUAGGGUGCAAGCGUUAAUCGGAAUUACUGGGCGUAAAGCGUGCGCAGGCGGCUAUGCA